rnacentral:misc_RNA from 1 species
UACGUAGGGGGCGAGCGUUGUCCGGAUUCAUUGGGCGUAAAGCGCUUUAAGGCGGUUCAGUAAGUCGGGUGUGAAACCUCCAGGCUCAACCUGGAGACGCCACUCGAUACUGCUGUGACUUGAGUUCGGUAGGGGAUCACGGAAUUCCUGGUGUAGCGGUGAAAUGCGCAGAUAUCAGGAGGAACACCGGUGGCGAAGGCGGUGAUCUGGGCCGACACUGACGCUGUAGAGCGAAAGCGUGGGGAGCGAACAGG